rnacentral:rRNA from 1 species
GGGGAAUCUUCCGCAAUGGACGAAAGUCUGACGGAGCAACGCCGCGUGAGUGAAGAAGGUCUUCGGAUUGUAAAGCUCUGUCGUUUGGGACGAACGUGGAUUGUGUGAAUAAUGCAAUCUAAUGACGGUACCAAAGGAGGAAGCCACGGCUAACUACGUGCCAGCAGCCGCGGUAAUACGUAGGUGGCAAGCGUUGUCCGGAAUUACUGGGUGUAAAGGAUGCGUAGGCGGAUAUGUAAGUCAGAUGUGAAACCCCCGGGCUUAACCCGGGGCAUGCAUUUGAGACUGCAUAUCUAGAGUGCAGGAGAGGAAAGCGGAAUUCCUAGUGUAGCGGUGAAAUGCGUAGAUAUUAGGAAGAACACCAGUGGCGAAGGCGGCUUUCUGGACUGUAACUGACGCUGAUGCAUGAAAGCGUGGGGAGCAAACA